AGCGAACGCUGGCGGCAGGCCUAACACAUGCAAGUCGAACGAAGCCUUCGGGCUUAGUGGCGGACGGGUGAGUAACACGUGGGAACGUACCUUUUGGUUCGGAAUAACGCAGAGAAAUUUGCGCUAAUACCGAAUGAGCCCUUAGGGGGAAAGAUUUAUCGCCGAAAGAUCGGCCCGCGUUGGAUUAGGUAGUUGGUGUGGUAAAGGCGCACCAAGCCUACGAUCCAUAGCUGGUCUGAGAGGAUGAUCAGCCACACUGGGACUGAGACACGGCCCAGACUCCUACGGGAGGCAGCAGUGGGGAAUCUUGCGCAAUGGGCGAAAGCCUGACGCAGCCAUGCCGCGUGAAUGAUGAAGGUCUUAGGAUUGUAAAAUUCUUUUACCAGGGACGAUAAUGACGGUACCUGGAGAAAAAGCCCCGGCUAACUUCGUGCCAGCAGCCGCCGUAAAAC
rnacentral:rRNA from 1 species